UGCCGGCUAUACUGCGGCUAUCAUGGCUGCUUUACCAAGUGAAGAAUGCAAUAUUACAUAAAAUCCUAUAAAGUUACUUUCUAAUAUUUAAGCAAGCAAAUUUUGAUGGUUAUUUGUUGUACUAGCCUACUAGGUGACGAGUUUUAUUUCAAAGUUGCAGGGAAACAGAAGGGAAACACGACUUCUGGGUAUUUUAUCAUUUGUGCUGAGCACAGUAUGGAAGGUUUUGUUUGGAAAGGUGUUCAAAAUUAAGAAGGAGAUGAAGAAAGAAGUGAUGAAGAAAUGAUCUUUGCUCAGAAGAUUUUUGAAUUAUUGAUAGAUGCGCUAAUAUUGAUCGUUUGGAUACUGAAUUCAGUGAAACUUAUCACCACUCGAACUUGCUACUAUAUGAGAAAACUAAUGAUCAUUUGACUUUAUACAUUUUGCUUUUGGGUUUCGAUUACUAGUUUGUUGCCUAAAAUUUUAAUUUGAAUUAUUAUAUUAAUCAAAGAUUUUGUUGUGAUGUGUAUAU